UACAGAGGUCUCGAGCGUUAGGCGGAAUCACUGGGCUUAAAGCGUGUGUAGGCGGCGGGCUAAGUACCUUGUGAAAUCCCACGGCUUAACUGUGGAACUGCUGGGUAUACUGGUUCGCUUGAGCGGUCUAGGGGCGAGCGGAACAAAUGGUGGAGCGGUGAAAUGCGUAGAUAUCAUUUGGAACGCCAACGGUGAAAACAGCUCGCUGGGGACCUGCUGACGCUGAGACACGAAGGCGUGGGUAGCAAACAGG
rnacentral:rRNA from 1 species